AAAUGAGCUUGACUUGCUAUAGACCAGUUAUCUGGCACUGAAGCUCUUCAUGAGAACACUGUGAAUGCUCUAAUCCUGACCUGCAGGAAGACGGGACACUUAAGGAAGGAGGUUUUUUUCCUCUAUCAGUACCACCAUGAUGAUCUUUCCAAAAGGACUACUGAUCAGUAACAACAAACUCGAGGAAAGAUGGCAUGCCAGUAGCAUAAUGUGGACACCACUAAACAGGAUUUGAUCUGGUCAUUGCAGAGGUGUUGCCCUGUAGGGCUGCACCUUCAGCCUUCUCCAAUGGGAGAUCCACACUGAGACUGCACUGGAUUUCUGUCCCAACAUUGAUUCAGGCUGGCACAGGAAGGUGAUUGUCCCACACUACUUUCUUAACCUGUAACAGUGUCUCCAGUUUCCAAUACCCUUCUAAACGUAUGGAAACCAGAAGUUGAAGUAUUGGUCUACUUUCAAUAUAGUCCCUGUCAUAGAUCUAUUACUUUGCAUUUGCUACACUGAAACCUUGCGCACAGGUACUAUGGCCAGACCAACUAGCCUACAGACUGAGCGAAACAUGAAUAAAGCUAACAAGUAUAAGGUGUUCCUGCUUCAUCUGCUGCAAGAGCUGCAUCUGGGUUUUCUCAGCAGUGUGCACUCCCCUCUUGGGCCUGCAGCAGCCGCCGUUCUCCCCAACACAAGCCCCCAGACAGCAGUAGCACGUGAGGUGGCUAUCGCAGGUCAUGGCACACGUUCGUUCUGGGAGUGCUGCUCAGCAUCUGGUCGGAUGCUCCUGUCAUCUGUUUCCUUUGCUGAGAAAAAGCAGUGGCCUAAACGGAAGCAAUUCACGGGUCAGCCUGGACCAGGAUUGCUAAAUAAGCUGCUAGUUCUGCCUGGGAACUCACCCAAUAUUCCAGACUUCACUAAAAAUAUACAUCAGCAAACUCUUUUGCUAUUCUUCAGUGUAAAUUGUUCAUGCUUCCUUACCUUGCACUCUCUCCACAGUACACACAGAUGUAUGCUGGGGAAGGAGACUGAACAUUUUGAAGUAAUGAAAUGCUGAGGAUUUUUCAUGGAAAACAGAUCUUCCAGCACAUCCUUAAAAAUCUCCAAUGUCCAUAUUCUAAUCUCUUCAGGAAACUUGUUCCACAGCUGUAGCCACUAAGAGAAGAAUACUUUAUUUCUAACACAUUCUGUUUCCUGGGCUUUGUAGACUGCAUUGCCAAAAGUAUUAGAAUCUAAUCUGAAAUAAAAUGCAAAGAGUGAGUGUAAAGAACAAUAAAUGGGAAAAGGAGCUCUUAACAUAAAUCUCUCUCUUGAGCUUUGAUUAAACUCAUGAAUGUCACUCAGUGUGUUUGAAAGCCUGUCCUUUAUCAUGUUUAGACCUAUGCACAGAAGAAUAGUAACCAUUGAAGAAAUAUUUAUUAUUUAAUGUCUUAUGCAGAAUUUUCUGUAUAUGAAAAGAAAAAGGAAAAUAUUAUUUAAAAAUAGCUUAAUAAUAACAUAGCUGUUUAUAUUGCAUUGUUGUUAUUACACUUAUAAUAUGCUACAUUUGGAGCAUUUUCAUAGCAUUUCAAAAAUAGUAGAGAUGCUGAGAUGAAAUAGCCAGACAGAAAUACUCUUCAAUGCUUUUAAUGUUAAUGAGCAUGCCAAUACAGGAGAUGUGAAGAAGUGCAGUGUAAAGCAAAUCCUUUUUUUUUAAUUUGUAAGAGCCUGAAUAGAUGAAAGUGACCCCAGGUAUUCAUAACAUUUAUUUUCAAUAAGUUUGUGAGUGGACAUUGCACAUUGUAUUCUACUUUUCAGUAACUUUCUGAAGCAUUAGAGGAUUCCAGAUCAUGAUAAAAGUUUGAAUAAAAAUAUUUUACUCUUCCCCUUGGGUGAUAUUGGGGGGGGGGGGGGGUGUUGGAUAUAUUUCUUAGUAUAACUCAUCUAACGUAAUAAAUGGGCAUUGAAUUAUUGGUUCUCCAAAACACUGAAAAUGGCUUUGUGAUUUCAUGUGCACCAAAAUACAUUUACUCUAGCUGAACCGAGAUUGGUGAUAUUUUUGUUUCUUCUGAAGCACACUUCAUAGAACUGCACAAUCAGCAACAAUAUCCGUCUGGUGGCUUUUCCUGUGUCUGUAAAGAUACCCUGGAUCUAAGUUACCAACAGUUAUUGUUAAUCCACCAGCAGGCAUAUUUUUCAUCUACAAACUGCUACUUACUCUCAAGUUUUACAGCCUGAAUAUAAAUAGCUGCUUUGUUUCCAUUUUGCAUAUAAUGGAACAAUACUGAUUAUUAACUGAAGCCUGGCAAGCCUUACAAGGACUUGUCUACAUUUAUGACUACUCUGAAAAGAAACAGUCCUUAAUAUCAGACGAGAAACAAACUAAGAGUGAAAGUAACCAAAAUUAUUAUCACUUUAUAGCUGCAGAAACAAGGAAAAUAAGUUAAAGAAUUUAGCACCCAAAUCCUAUUGAAAUUCAAUGGGAAUUGAACCUCUCAGGUUCAGCUAGAAAUCUGAGUUUAGGGGCCAUCAUUUGAAUGGAUUUUACUUAUUUAGUGCAGAUGGGCAUAUAGUCAUAUGCUCAGAAACAUGCUGGAUGCGUAAUAUGCACUGAAAUCCCCACGUCAGUGAAUACCUUGCCAUUAAAAUAUUAAAUAUUACAACAUAAUCACAUACUUCUGCAAUUGGAGCCAAAUGAUAUCAAAAGUAGGUAAAGUGUUUGAAAUUCUCUGCUAUAUUUAUCUCAUUUAUUGUAGACUGGUGAUGAAUCUUAAUUUUCUGACCAUUUAAGAAUACUUUGAUACUUACAUUUAUCUUUAUUGAGGAGAUAAAAUAUCUGAUAGUAAAUUAUUGUCUUAAGGCUAUUAUAACUGUCAUAAGUAAUCUGUUAGUUAUCCAGACCCUUCCAAAGUACAUUUUAUACAAAUUAAAAUCUUGUUUUUUAAUUGUUGU